GAGUUUGAUCGUGGCUCAGAUUGAACGCUGGAGGCAGGCCUAACACAUGCAAGUCGAGCGGAUGACGGGAGCUUGCUCCUUGAUUCAGCGGCGGACGGGUGAGUAAUGCCUAGGAAUCUGCCUGGUAGUGGGGGACAACGUUUCGAAAGGAACGCUAAUACCGCAUACGUCCUACGGGAGAAAGCAGGGGACCUUCGGGCCUUGCGCUAUCAGAUGAGCCUAGGUCGGAUUAGCUAGUUGGUGGGGUAAUGGCUCACCAAGGCGACGAUCCGUAACUGGUCUGAGAGGAUGAUCAGUCACACUGGAACUGAGACACGGUCCAGACUCCUACGGGAGGCAGCAGUGGGGAAUAUUGGACAAUGGGCGAAAGCCUGAUCCAGCCAUGCCGCGUGUGUGAAGAAGGUCUUCGGAUUGUAAAGCACUUUAAGUUGGGAGGAAGGGCAGUAAGUUAAUACCUUGCUGUUUUGACGCUACCGACAGAAUAAGCACCGGCUAACUCUGUGCCAGCACG
rnacentral:rRNA from 1 species